GUGAUUCACCGGUUCCAAAC
rnacentral:miRNA from 9 species